CUCCAGCCCACCGGCCCAUACCUGUUCGUACGAAGACCAAGUCUUCCUCUUCUCCUUUUUCUUCCCACGAGAGUGGCGUGCUCUCCUUCCCGGUCAACAUCACCGCACCACCACGCCACCACCACACCUGCCCCCUCGCUUAAAGCCGCCCCGCACGCCUCCUGGAAACCCUAGCCUCUCUCCCCUCCACCGCCGCCACUUCCCCAUCCACCUUCUUCCCCUUCACACAGAGAAACAAAGAAGAGGAGAACGAACAACCAAAACCAUGGCCGGCCUUACAGUGAGCUCAACCGUGCCGUCGCCACAGGCGCUCCCUCGACGAGCUGGGACUACCAGAAGAACCGCAUCGUCGUCCUCUCCAUCCUCCCCAAAGGAAUCAAGCCAGGAGAGCUCCAAUCGACGGUGAAUUCGCCGAUUCCGUUCCCAUCCUGCCGGCGAGUUUCUUCGAUUCUGGCCGCGUUGGUGCUUCUCCGUCGCUUCUGAGCACAUCCACACACACCUGGCACCCAUCACCGGCGACACUCCGGCAAGCGCCCGGCCCCUUCUCUGCCGGCCGCAGGUCCGCCAGGCCAAGGCGCGUCCCCGACGCCAUCCUGUUCUCCCCGGUUCGCCCCCAAUCAUCGUCCCCAUCUCCGACCUGAGUCGUCCGCCAUGGCUGUUUCACCAGAAGUUUUCCGCCAUGGUCUGGUUCAAAGGGUAUACUUUCCCUUUGAAAACAACAUCAGUCGUAUUAGCACAGUGAUCUGGUGUCCCAUGGGUUUGAGCCCAGUUCCAUCGAUUCGGCCUGACGCCGAUGCACGCCCAGCAUCUGUCCACCGCAGGCCAGCAUUUGCUUCUUCCCGGAUAGGAUCGCGAAGUGGUGCUGUGAGAUACGACAAGUUCUCCGGAUGUUCCUCGGCAAACUUUAACAGGCAAGCAUUUUCCCUUAUACUCCUGUCCCUGCAGGAGUCGCUCACCCAUUUUAUUUUGCCUUCUCCCUCAUGCUAUCCUUAAGUUGCGUUCUUGUCACGUGUCCCUUCCACUUGUUACCUCAAGCAGCCUAUAUUGACUCCACCAACCUCCUAUAGCUAUUGUUUGGUUAUCGGGUCUGCCUUGCGAGUCGUAGUGCAUGCUAGUGCUGUUUUAUCUCGUUACCGUUGUUGUUAUCUUAUCGGGAUAUGUUGGGUUGUUGGGAGGUUAUCACAUGAUAUAUCAUUUGUUGGAGAUAAUCACACUUUACUUUAUUGUUAACAACUAAAAUUGUAAGCAGAGGCAUCUGUGAGCCCCUUUGCGAAAGCAUCGGAACUUUGACUUGCUAAUGUCCCCUAGGACCCGAGUUCUUGUUAUCUGUUCCGAGAUUGAGCGCUCUACCCGUACGUGGGGGAAUGGGACCCCCAUCACCCACUACCUUUCCUCGAGUCUGUUUAUUGGGAGCCACAACCUUGGUUUUAUUUGCCCAUAUGCACGAUGCACGAUUUACUUCUGUUGCCUUCGGGUGUUUAUAUUUUGUACUGCACUCAUAUUGCGUGCCGACUUAUCCUUGGCCGGUCGUUAGCGCCCGCCUUGGACGCCAUCGCAACCUCUGGGUCCGUAUCGGAGUACGGCCGAACUUCGUCACGGGUAGCUUAGUUGGGUGGCUCCCAUUAAACUUUCUCUUGCAUUGGGAACGGUCUUGAUGUGAGACUCCACCUAUAGUAAGUGGGUUCGAGCAUGCGUAUGGUUACAUUUGGGCAACCCCUGCAGGGUGUACAUCUUAUCGAUAAGCCGUGUCCGCGGUUAUGGACGACUUGGAAUUGUAUAGCUUGAUCAUAGAACAACUUACACCGUUAUCUUGUUGCUAAUAAUCUGAUAAUAACUUGCGUAGUAAUAUAGCCUUACUACAACCGUUACCCAAUAAAAUGUGUCCACCGUUGAGUGCCUUUUACAUGCCUCUUCGCAAUUGUUGGAGGGGAUAUGUGUAAUCGGCUGGGUUAUGUUUGUGUAGUAUUUUACCUGUUACCUUAUGCGCUCUCUCACCUUCUCUGAUUAGACGAAUGUUGUAGAGUGUCUCUAUAGGUUUUUAGUGCUUGCGCUGCCGCUUAACUCCACCAUAUUGCCUAUGACGUUUCUCUUGCGUCCUCUAAGUCCCCUGCGUGCCUCAAGUACAAAGGACGACUGGUUGACGAAUGCUUAUACGUCUUGAAGUCUUGUUAAGUACGAACCCGUACUUAUUGCUGCUUCUACGGGAUAUAACCGGGCAGGUAUGAAGAUAUGUUCGAUGAAGACGAUGUUAGCAAGGUUACCUUUCCGGCUUGGCCUGGGCAGGGUUAUGGACGCCACUGGUUAUCUUCAGGACUCUUAGUCCAAUUUGUAUCUUGUCCGUACUCGGACGUAUUCGAUCUUCUGUAUGAUUUGAAUCUUUGUAUUGUAUAUUUGUAUCUUGACUCGUUGGAGUCGUUGUUGUAAUAUAU